ensembl:snRNA U6 U6 spliceosomal RNA
GAGCUCGCUUUGGCAGCACAUACACUAAAAUGGAACAAUCCAGAGAAGAUUAGUGUGGCCCUUGUGUAAGGAUGACAUGCACAUUUGUAAAACACUCCAUAUUUUU